UCGCUCUUCAACGAGGAAUCCCUAGUAAGCGUGAGUCAUCAGCUCAUGCUGAUUACGUCCCUGCCCUUUGUACACACCGCCCGUCGCUACUACCGAUUGAAUGGCUUAGUGAGACCCUCGGAUCGACAAAUGGAAGCCUUAACCGGCAUCUGUUUGAUGAGAAGUUGGUCAAACUUGGUCAUUUAGAGGAAGUAAAAGUCGUAACAAGGUUUCCGUAGGUGAACCUGCGGAAGGAUCAUUAAAAAAUUUGAGGUAUUUUAUAUCUUGUAUUUAAAACCCAACUCUUUCAAACCUAAAUUUUUUAUAAUAAAAAUAAAAAAACUUUCAACAACGGAUCUCUUGGCUCUCGCAUCGAUGAAGAACGCAGCGAAAUGCGAAAAGUAAUGUGAAUUGCAGAAUUCCGUGAAUCAUUAAAUCUUUGAACGCAAAUUGCACUCCUUGGUAUUCCGAGGAGUACACUUGCUUGAGGGUCAGUUAAAAAAUAAUAUCGUUACAUCUUUUUGGUGUUGCGGAUCUGGGCUAUCCGGUUUUUAAGUCGGUUACCUAAAAUUAAAUAUUAUUAUAAUGUGAUACGUACUAAGAUAAAGGUCGUUAAUCAUUAAAAAUUUAAUAUAUAUUAUCUCUAAUUCUUUUUUAGUUGGUAGUGUAUAUAAUUUCUGAGAAUGACCUCAAGUCAAGUGAGAGUACCCGCUGAACUUAAGCAUAUCAAUAAGCGGAGGAAAAGAAACUAACAAGGAUUCCCCUAGUAACGGCGAGUGAAGCGGGAAGAGCACAAAUUUUAAAUCUACUUGGUUUUACCAGGUCGAGUUGUAAUUUGAAGAAACGUUUUUAAUGUUCCAGGUUGGUUUAAAUCCUUUGGGAUAAGGUAUCAUGGAGGGUGAGAAUCCCGUGUAUAUCAACCUCUGGAAUGUUAUCAAUACGUUUUCUAAGAGUCGAGUUGUUUGGGAAUGCAGCUCUAAAUGGGUGGUAAAUUUCACCUAAUGCUAAAUAUAAGCGAGAGACCGAUAGCGAACAAGUACCGUGAGGGAAAGAUGAAAAGAACUUUGAAAAGAGAGUUAAAUAGUACGUGAAAUUGUUGAAAGGGAAACGAUUGAAGUCAGUCAUGCCGGCAGGAAUCAAUUUUAUGGAAAGGGGAUUUUUUUGAACCUAACCUUGAAAUGCAUUUCUUUGCUUGGCAGGUUAGCGUCGAUUUUGAACGUCAUAAAAUGAUUGGGAGAAGGUAGCUCCUUCGGAGUGUUAUAGCUCUUAAUUAAUGUGAUGUUUGGGAUCGAGGGUUGCAACGGAUACCUUUUAGGCUAGCCGCCUGGCCUCUAAUUCGAUGUUGGGUUAUAGACAGCAUGCUGACUAUGAUCUAAUUAUUGAUUAAAAGGUUAGAGCGAGCAUAAAUUCGUUAAGGACGCUGACGUAAUGGCUUUAAACGACCCGUCUUGAAACACGGACCAAGGAGUCUAACAUGUGUGCGAGUGUU
rnacentral:rRNA from 1 species